rnacentral:rRNA from 1 species
UACAUAGGUCUCAAGCGUUGUUCGGAAUUACUGGGCGUAAAGGGUGCGCAGGCCGCGCGGGCAGUCAACUGUGUAAUUCAGGGGCUCAACCCCUGCACUGCGCUUGAUACUUCCGCGCUCGAGCUUUGGAGAGGAGUCUGGAAUUCUCGGUGUAGCAGUGAAAUGCGUGGAUAUCGAGAAGAACACUUAGGGCGUAGGCAAGACUCUGGACAAAUGCUGACGCUCAUGCACGAAGGCUAGGGUAGCGAACGGG